rnacentral:lncRNA from 1 species
GGGAGAGAAAAAAAGUAUGCCUGUGUAUUUCGAGCGGAGGGCAGCAAGAGGCCUCUCCUCAAGGGAAAGGUGUGGAAACAGGAAGAGAACUAGAACUGGAAGUAAAGCAUUGAAGAUGUGACUGAAUUGCUGCAAUCUCAUGAUCAAAUUUGAAUGGAUGAGGAGUUGCUUUUUAGGGAUGAGCAAAGAAAGUGGUUUCUCGAGAUGGAAUCUACUGGUGAAGUUGCUGUGAACAUUGUUAAAAUGCCAAUAAAGGAUUUAGGAAUUACAGAAACCUGGUUGAUAAAGCAGUGCCAGGGUGUGAGAGAGUUGACUUCAAUUUUGAAAUAAGUUCCACUGGCUGGGUGUGGUGGCUCACACCUGCAAUCCCAGUACUUUAGGAGGCCGAGACUGGUAGAUCAUUUGAGGUCAGGAGUUCAAGACCAGCCUUGCCAACAUGGUGAAACCCCACCUCUACCAAAUUAGCCAGGUGUGGUGCACACCUGUAGUCCCAGCUACUUGGGAAGCUGAGGCAGGAGAAUCUCUUGAACCAGGGAGGAGGAGGUUGCA